GGCGGAAUGCUUUACACAUGCAAGUCGAGCGGCAGCGCGGGGGCAACCCUGGCGGCGAGCGGCGAACGGGUGAGUAAUGUAUCGGAACGUACCCAGUCGUGGGGGAUAACUAAUCGAAAGGUUAGCUAAUACCGCAUACAACCUGAGGGUGAAAGCGGGGGACCGUAAGGCCUCGCGCGAUUGGAGCGGCCGAUAUCGGAUUAGCUUGUUGGUGAGGUAAAGGCUCACCAAGGCGACGAUCCGUAGCUGGUCUGAGAGGACGACCAGCCACACUGGAACUGAGACACGGUCCAGACUCCUACGGGAGGCAGCAGUGGGGAAUUUUGGACAAUGGGGGCAACCCUGAUCCAGCCAUUCCGCGUGAGUGAAGAAGGCCUUCGGGUUGUAAAGCUCUUUCAGCAGGAACGAAACGGUUAUCUCUAAUAAAGAUGACUAAUGACGGUACCUGAAGAAGAAGCACCGGCUAACUACGUGCCAGC
rnacentral:rRNA from 1 species